rnacentral:rRNA from 1 species
UACGAAGGGGGCUAGCGUUGCUCGGAAUCACUGGGCGUAAAGCGCAUGUAGGCGGCUUUCUAAGUCAGGGGUGAAAUCCUGGAGCUCAACUCCAGAACUGCCUUUGAUACUGAAGAUCUUGAGUUCGGGAGAGGUGAGUGGAACUGCGAGUGUAGAGGUGAAAUUCGUAGAUAUUCGCAAGAACACCAGUGGCGAAGGCGGCUCACUGGCCCGAUACUGACGCUGAGGCACGAAAGCGUGGGGGAGCAAACAGG